rnacentral:piRNA from 1 species
UGAGCUGUGUAACCUUGGAUACAGUU